rnacentral:rRNA from 1 species
GAUGAACGCUGGCGGCGUGCCUAAUACAUGCAAGUCGAGCGAACGGACGAGAAGCUUGCUUUUCUGAUGUUAGCGGCGGACGGGUGAGUAACACGUGGAUAACCUACCUAUAAGACUGGGAUAACUUCGGGAAACCGGAGCUAAUACCGGAUAAUAUUUUGAACCGCAUGGUUCAACAGUGAAAGACGGUCUUGCUGUCACUUAUAGAUGGAUCCGCGCCGCAUUAGCUAGUUGGUAAGGUAACGGCUUACCAAGGCAACGAUGCAUAGCCGACCUGAGAGGGUGAUCGGCCAAACUGGAAAUGAGGCACGGUCCAGACUCCUACGGGAGGCAGCAGUAGGGAAUGUUCCGCAAAGGGCGGAAGCCUGAAGGAGCAACGCCGCGUGAGAGGAGAAGGUAUUCGGAUCGUAAAAAUCUGUUAUUAGGGAAAAACAAAUGUGUAAGUAAAUAGGCAAGUAUUGACGGUACCUAAUCAGAAAAACACGGCUAACUAAGUG